rnacentral:lncRNA from 1 species
AGCCAAUCAUAACUCAGGAAAGACUUGUCUACCAAAUUAUGUAUGUGCACCCCAGAAAAAUAUGCCCCAAAACCGACAGUAUUGGUCAAGGUGACGAGGCUGCGAUUGUGAGUGAACAGUUGGUCCACUUUCUAAUUACAGCUGUGUAGCUAUUACUGUUUCGUUUCCAUGAAAACCACAGCAGUAGACUUCAAAAUUCACCACCUGCAAAAGUUACCUUGGUUGUGUCACCUUUCUAGUUGGUGCCAGUCUAGACUGUCACUACUAUCUCCAUGGUGAAGAGGAUUUUGGUGACCAGUAAGUUUAUCUCGUGAAGUUGCCAGCCUAACAGUCACGUGGCAUGACAAAAAUGUUGUUAUCCAGGAUAUCCUAAUGAUGAUUGGCUCAGGUAGCUGAAGAGAUGCAACUUUACAGAACUGUCUGGAUCCUAACUUUUUGCCAGAUGACGUAAGUCGUCCAAAGGGGAAAUUUUCCAUUGGUGAAUAUGUGAAUCACUCGUGUGUGACUCGUUAUAGAGUAAAGUCUCUCGUGAUGUCACCGGAGAACAUGUGGUAUAUGUCAUGUUUUACACUAGGACUUAUUCAGUGUAACUACUUUCAUCAGAUGUCGCCAUCUUCCACAAUUUCUGCGCACUGAAGAGGAGGUCACCUUGGAUAUGGCGUCAGUAAGGUCAGAGGACGUCUGUCAUCUUGACCAAAAUAUUAUAUAUUUUCGUCAACAGAGAACAUUCUGAACGUUCUUUUAGAAAGUCUUCUUCUCUGUAAAAUCUGGCACCGCCCUCUCUGAGACUGCACCACUCCCAGAACGCCAAAGGUGACCUGAAAUCAUCUUGAGGAAAGGGCUAAACUGACAGAAGGACGAGCAUACAUUGGCACGUGACCUGCAACUGUUUCCAGCCGCCGAAGAGCAAACGAAAGCACCUGCCAUGUUCAGUUCGUAUUUCAAUUUGUUUAAAUAAGAUCGCAAAAAAAUAUCUGAAAUAUGUAUUUGUUUAAAGUAAACCAUUUUGUCAUUUACGUCAUGCGAUCGAUUCCUUGUGAAUACCUCAACAAACAUUCUCAUGAAAAUAUGAAAGAUUAAGACGAAAAAAAGUUUUUUUAUAUCAAUCAUUAUGAAAUAUUUAAUAAAAAGAAUUAUAUUUUAUAUAGUUUGACGAUACUGAUGUAUUUGGUCACUUCUUUAACCAUAAGUUAAACCACUUUGCUAAUAAAUGAUACUAGUUCGUAAAUAGUGCCAUUAAUGAUGGGGGGGGGGGCGGCAAAAAAUGCGCAACCCUUUCAAUGGAACGACGCGCCAUCUAUACGUAACUGGUUUCACUACAGUUAUAAAGUAGACUUGGCUGUCUGUAAAAACAUUCAACAUGGCGGACAACAUGAUUUGACUGGAUCGUCUAUAUAAAUAAGAAGAUUAGUUAAACGACGUGGAAGAGAGAUUGAAAAAUUCUGACGGAAGUCUUCUACCUGACCUGAUUAAGUGGAGAACCUGAUUGUUAUGAGCCCCCUGAUGUUUUACAGCCAUGAUUUAGUUUCAUUUCCGAUGUAUUGGAAAAGCUAAAAAAGAAGGUGAAGUUAUACUUAUUCUUAUGAAAAACUGGAACCAGAAAAAAUCAAACUUCUAACAAACGAAGAGACAGAGAGAGAGAGAAAGGCAAAAUCUGAAAAGAAAAAUAAAGAAGUUUGCGCAAACCCACUAAGCGACUAUCAGAGUACAGCUGUCCCUAAUUUUCAUCUGAUAGACUAGAGGGAAGGCAACUAGUUAACAGCACCCACCGUCAACUCUUGGAAUACUUUUGUAUGGUGAAAAAUUGGAUUUGACCGUCACUUUCGUAGUGCACCCACAGACACAAAGAGCAGAGCGCGUUCUAGCGGCAACGAGUCACGAACCAUAAAUCUUCGAAUUCAUUGUCCAGGCACUCUACUAGAGCACGCCUGGCCCAUCGUACUAGUUGUAGUGUUUUCUCAGUUGAUACUGUGAGAGAAGCGAGGAAUGUCCUGUGGUUCUUUUUCAUUUAAUUUGUAUUUCUUGAAUAUGUAACUAUUUUUCAGUUAUAAGAUACCUGACUUUCGGGAUGUUUAUUUUGAAAUUGACAGAUGACCUACGAAUUUAUUGGGAACAAUAUUAUGAUAAUUUAUUGAAAAUAUGCAAAUAAUUAUAAAAUUUCAAACCUUUCAAGUGUGUGAUAAUCGACCCAUCACACAUACACGCUAAUAUUGUUUGCAAUUACUCUAUAACAUUUUAGAAAGCAAGUGUUCUAAAUUAAAAACACCCUGGCUAAAUGCGACGUUUAGACAUCAUCAAAACACUACAGUCAGACGCCUGUCGGUCAAAACUAAAACAAGCAAUUAUUACAGACAGUCAAAAAUAUUCAUACUUCAGAAAGAAUAAAACUUUUACUAAGAAGCACUUAUACUCCCGCAUAACCUUAUACCUGAAGAUCACGUAUUUCAGACGAUAUCCUAAAGUAUAAUAUUAAUGAGAACUUCUGAGUGAAAGUAAUGUAUGGGCUUUAAAAAACGAAUAAACCAAAUACGUAUCUAUAAUAUGAGGUGAAUGUGUAU